rnacentral:rRNA from 1 species
UACGUAGGGUGCGAGCGUUAAUCGGAAUUACUGGGCGUAAAGCGUGCGCAGGCGGUUUGGUAAGACAGACGUGAAAUCCCGGCGUACUGGACGUGCGUUGUGACUGUCAGACUAGAGUGUAGCAGAGGGGGUAGGAAUUCCACGUGUAGCAGUGAAAUAGCGUAGAUAUGUGGAGGAAUACCAAUGGCGAAGGCAGCCCCUCGGGUUAAGACCUGACGCUCAUGCACGAAAGCGUGGGGA